UAGUCCCGGCGGCCACAGGACGCGCGGAGGCCGGGCGGGGCGGGAGGGGCGGGGCGCGCGCUGCUGUCAGCCGUGAGCCGGGACUUGUACA
rfam:Nomascus leucogenys chromosome 15, whole genome shotgun sequence.